rnacentral:misc_RNA from 1 species
UGGAAGUAGCUCACUGAGUCUUGAUACUUGGGGAAGCAACCGGGAACGAGUAGUUUUCGAUAGUGGCAGCUCAUACACAUACUUCACAAAAGAAGCGUAUUCCCAGUUGGUUGCAAAUCUUGAAGAACUCUCAGCGUUUGGGCUUAUUAUUCAAGAUUCGUCAGAUACCAUUUGUUGGAAAACUGAACCUUCUAUCAGAUCUGUUAAAG